rnacentral:rRNA from 1 species
UAUCUCUGUAGAGUCUGCAUAUCAAUAAGCGGAGGAAAAGAAACUAACUAGGAUUCCUUCAGUAACGGCGAGUGAAGCGGGAAGAGCUCAAAUUUGAAAUCUUCAAGGUUUUACCUUGACGAAUUGUAGUUUAAAGAAGUGUUUUCUGUUGAAGUUUCGGUAAAAGUUCUUUGGAAUAGGACAUCAUAGAGGGUGAGAAUCCCGUAUUUGACCGUUAUUUUCAGCUGUGUGAUACACUUUCAAAGAGUCGGAUUGUUUGGGAAUGCAGUCCAAAAUGGGUGGUAAAUUUCAUCUAAAGCUAAAUAUUGGCGAGAGACCGAUAGCGAACAAGUACCGUGAGGGAAAGAUGAAAAGAACUUUGAAAAGAGAGUUAAACAGUACGUGAAAUUGUCAAAAGGGAAGCGUUUGACACCAGUGUUGUUUUUCUCGAAAAUCAAUUAAGAAUGGCAUGAUUUUGUGUUGUAUUGACUUUAUCAGCUUUCUUCACUCUUUUUCGAUGUCUUUUUUAAUGCACUUUUCGGUUAACAAGUCAACAUCAAUUUCUUUUGUUGUAAAAGGGUCAUUGGAAGGUGGCUUUCUUUUCGGAGAAAGUGUUUAUAGCCUUUGGCCUCUGCAAUCGGAGAGAUUGAGGUCUGCAGCGUAGAUCCUUCGGGGUUAGAUACAUUUGUGCUAAGUUAUAGCCUUUCAUAGACAACUUGUUGACUAUGAUCAGUCAUGUAGCUUACUCGCUUAUGCUAUUUUACCUACGCUUAGGAUGUUGAAGAUGUAGCACAUCAU